CUAUAAUUACCUACCUAGGUGUGUUCUAUUGCAAUUCAAUUUCAAGAUGCUAAUUCGGAUGGCAAUUGAGGCAUGCAAGAGCGAGAUUAACGAGGGUGAAGACGAGGAUGGUGACAACAUACAAGUCGUGAUCAACCAAUGACAAAUUGCAAGUCUUUGGAUAUGACUUGUUUGAUCAUUUGGGCAACUGAAGAUCCUUUGGCAGUGACACCCUUUUGGAACGAGAUGACAGAGAUGGUCCUUGCUCCUCUAUAUACAUUUUAUUUUCCGAAGAAAAAACGAGGUUGUUGUUGUGAUUUUGAAAAUGUUAAUUUCAUCUACAUAUGCAGCUCCGUACGUGAAACAAUACUAAGUUGUGGACUUAUAUAUAUGGUUUCUUACUAUAGAUUUUAAUUAAGCUUUUUUUUUUUUAUACAUGUGUCCUAUUCUACAGCUUUUUGCAAUGUUAUCCUCAUUUUUGCUGAUUUGUUCUUUCUAAACUUUUCUUGUUUGAGUUUGUUCUGUUCUGGCAUUUAGAAAGCUACCCAGAAUAAAUGUGAUUAAUUUGCGAGA
rnacentral:lncRNA from 1 species